rnacentral:rRNA from 1 species
UGUGCCAGCAGCCGCGGUAAUACGUAAGGUCCGAGCGUUGUCCGGAAUCAUUGGGCGUAAAGGGUACGUAGGCGGGUAAGCAAGUUAGAAGUGAAAUCCUAUAGCUCAACUAUAGUAAGCUUUUAAAACUGUUUAUCUUGAGGUAUGGAAGGGAAAGUGGAAUUCCUAGUGUAGCGGUGAAAUGCGCAGAUAUUAGGAGGAAUACCGGUGGCGAAGGCGACUUUCUGGCCAUAACCUG